ACACUAACAGCCUGCAAAAGAGUCCAAUGAAGUCUUGCGUCAGUGUGAUUACAUGUUAUGUGGAAUAUACGGUUGAUGUCAACUCCCCAAAACCAUAAAACUUACUUUAAUGGCACCACGUGACUGUUUAUAGCCAGUGAGCCUAUCUGUCUCUGCUAUGGAUGAUUUUACGAUCUAAUUUAUAGACAAAACCCCGUUCAUUUACCACCCAAAUGUCAUAUAGCCGGAACUGGGGCUAACAAAGUUUACUGCUUUAAACUUUAAAAGGAGUUCAGCAUGUAGCCAGUUAGGGUACAGAUGCAGAUCCCCUAUUGCUGUUUAGUGACAAGGAGUCUUUAACCAGCCAAGCUAUGGGUAUGAAUGUAUUUUGAAGACGCAUACUCAGAUGAGACCAAAGAUGAUGGUAUCCGGGCAGCAGUGUGGAGUAGUGGUUAGGGCUCUGGACUCUUGACUGGAGGGUUGUGGGUUCAAUCCCCAGUGGGGGACACUGCUGUUGUACCCUUGAGCAAGGUACUUUACCUAGAUUGCUCCAGUAAAAACCCAACUGUAUAAAUGGGUAAUUGUAUGUAAAAAUAAUGUGAUAUCUGUAUAAUGUGCUAUCUUGUAACAAUUGUAAGCCGCCCUGGAUAAGGGCGUCUGCUAAGAAAUAAAUAAUAAUAAUAAUAAUAAUACACAAGUAUGCGAAGGAGGCCUCGCGCUUUAGGUGGUCAAUUCUAUUGUGCUGUGGAAUGUCUGGGCCAGUGUUUGUUUACAAAAAUCUAAUAGGCCCGAUUUUUGUAUUAUUAUGUUAUGUUAUAUAAGUCUCGAGGCAUGUUAUUUAACGUACUAUAUAUUAACCGAUUUUCGUAAUGUAAUUUGAUUUAGAAUAUUGUUUGCCUUGAAGCAUGCAAAUAAGAACAAAAAAGGAAUGCCGUUGACUUAAGAUGGAAAUUAAAUUUGUAUCUAUCGUAAUGUGAUUCACGUUGCUGCUAUUCUUACAGAACAACGUGUAUUAUAUAAUGAGCUUACUUGUAGUUUCAAUUCUUAUUAUUAUAUAAAAAAAAGGGGGUAAAAGGAAAAUAAACCAGUUUUCAAAUAUGGAAGCCCCUUGGUCUAAUAUGGGGAUUGUUCUUAGAAGUCAUACGUCACACGAAAAGUCUUAAACAUCAGUAUAAACAGGGCUUUUAAUAAAAUACCACGGUAUUUAACAAAACAUACCUGUUUAUCAUCAAAGUUCACACAGAAACGUAGCCAAAAUGAUUCUUACUUUUAAUAUAGAGGGAUAUAUGUUUAUUUCUGCUGUUGAUUUAUUCAAACUUUGUAUUUUGUUUGAUCAGGUUAAUUCAAGUAUUAGCCAAUAAGUGUUCAUCUUUUCAAUAUUUGUGUUUGCCGUUAUUUUAGAAUUGUAUAGGCUGCGUUUUUAUUGUUGUAUUUAAUCAUUACAAAAACUAGCAAACAUAAUAUUUUGUUAUUAAAUGUAAGUAUAUUUUGAAAAUAUAGUGUGUUAUUAAAUGAAAUUAUAUUUUUAUAA